GUGCUUUGGUAGCACAUAUACAAAAACUGGAAUGACAGAGAUUAGCACAGUCUCUGUACAAGGAUGAGACAUAAAUUCAUGAAGCAUUCCAUAUUUUU
rnacentral:snRNA from 1 species